rnacentral:rRNA from 1 species
CAUGUAGGUGGUUAUGUAAGUCGAGCGUGAAAUCCCUUGGCUCAACCAAGGAACUGCACUCGAAACUGUAUAACUUGAGUUCAGGAGAGGAAAGCGGAAUUCCCGGUGUAAGAGUGAAAUCUGUAGAUAUCGGGAGGAACACCAGUGGCGAAGGCGGCUUUCUGGACUGAUACUGACACUGAAAUGCGAAAGCUAGGGGAACAAACAGGAUUAGAUACCCUGGUAGUC